CUACGGGAUGCACCAGUGAGGAAUAUUGCACAAUGGGGGGAACCCUGAUGCAGCAACGCCGCAUGGAGGAUGACGCAUUUCGGUGUGUAAACUCCUUUUAUAUGUCAAGAAAAUGACGGAAGCAUAUGAAUAAGCACCGGCUAACUCCGUGCCAGCAGCCGCGGUAAUACGGAGGGUGCAAGCGUUACUCGGAAUCACUGGGCGUAAAGGACGCGUAGGCGGGUUGGAAAGUCAGGUGUGAAAUCCUACAGCUUAACUGUAGAACUGCACUUGAAACUUCUAAUCUAGAGUAUGGGAGGGGGAGAUGGAAUUAGUGGUGUAGGGGUAAAAUCCGUAGAUAUCACUAGGAAUACCUAAAGCGAAGGCGAUCUCCUGGAACAUUACUGACGCUAAGGCGUGAAAGCGUGGGGAGCAAACAGGAUUAGAUACCCCGGUAGUC
rnacentral:rRNA from 1 species